UCAACUUGAGAGUUUGAUCCUGGCUCAGAACGAACGCUGGCGGCAGGCCUAACUCAUGCAAGUCUAGCGCACCUUCGGGUGAGCGGCGGACGGGUUAGUAACGCGUGGGAAUAUACCCUUCACUACGGAAUAGCCUCGGGAAACUGAGAGUAAUACCGUAUACGCCCUUCGGGGGAAAGAUUUAUCGGUGAAGGAUUAGCCCGCGUUGGAUUAGGUAGUUGGUGGGGUAAAAGCCUACCAAG
rnacentral:rRNA from 1 species